CGUUGUUCGGAAUUACUGGGCGUAAAGGGCUCGUAGGCGGCCAACUAAGUCGGACGUGAAAUCCCUCGGCUUAACCGGGGAACUGCGUCCGAUACUGGAUGGCUUGAGUUUGGGAGAGGGGUGCGGAAUUCCAGGUGUAGCGGUGAAAUGCGUAGAUAUCUGGAGGAACACCGGUGGCGAAGGCGGCAUCCUGGACCAACACUGACGCUGAUGAGCGAAAGCUAGGGGAGCAAACGGG
rnacentral:rRNA from 1 species